UGAGUGGCUGUAAUCUGUCAGAGAGAAGCUGUGGAGCUCUGUCCUCAGUCCUCAGCUCCCAGUCCUCCAGUGUGACAGAGCUGGACCUGACUAACAACAACCUGCAGGAUUCAGGAGUGUAGAGUCUUUCUGCUGGACUGGAGAGUCCACACUGUAAACUGGAAGCUCUCAGGCUGUCAGGCUGUCUGGUCACAGAGGAAGGCUGUGCUUCUCUGGCCUCAGCUCUGAGCUUCAACACCUCAAAUCUGAGAGAGCUGGACCUGAGCUACAACCAUCCAGGAGACUCAGGAGAGAAGAUGCUGAGAGCUAAAGUGGAGGAUCCACACUGUAGACUGGAAACUCUCAGGGUGACGCCUGCUGGAGUCCGAUGGUUGACACCAGGUCUGAGGAAGUAUUCCUGUCAACUCACAGUCGACACAAACACAGUAAACGGAUGACUGAAACUGUCUGAUAACAGGAAGGUGACAUGUGUGGAGGAGGAUCAGUCAUAUCCUGAUCAUCCAGACAGAUUUAACAACUGGCAGCUGCUGUGUAGAACUGGUCUGAGUGGUCGCUGUUACUGGGAGGUGGAGUGGAGAGGUGAGGUUCAUACA